ACCACAAGUUUAUCUCCCCACCUCCCAUCAUAUUCAAUGCAGAGUUCAUCUCGCCCUCCCAGGGAAUCUGACCUAUUUAACAUUGGGCUGUUGGCACACAUGGCCGUGCCAUGGCAGGCAUUAGAACCGAGCCCAGAUAAAUAUUGGAUGGCGCACUGAUCUGGGCUCGGGCCCCCCUUGAGCUCUGAUCACCUCCCACCCCCCCUGCUGCUGCUUACCAUCCCACUGCCUCCCGCUGCCAAGCAAACACUGAUUAGCCUAAUCUCUCCGAGACAGCCUCCCCUAUUGGGCUCAGAAAGAAGAUAGGUUACAACAUAGCCAAAACGGCAAGUGCCGAACGGCAUAUUUGCACGAGCAAAUGUGUAACAGGAGCACGUAGUCGGGGAAAAAGAAUGGCAUUUAUUUUUAGGUAGACGGGAUGGGGAGAAAAUGCAAUGUGAAUGAGGGGGUCGGAGAGGGGAGAAGUAGCUGCCUUGCUACGGCUGUUGGGUGCAGAUGCGUUGACGUUGACGAUGACGAUGCUGCUGGUGCUGUUAUUUUCCAACGGUUGCCAAAAGAGCAGCGAAGAAAAAUGCCAAGGUCGGCCAAGACUGAUAAGCACAGGUUGAGAGCUGUAAGGACGGAUUCUUCUGGGCAAUGACAGCUUUGUGCCAUCACAAAGCAGGUAAUCUGAAAAAUCAGAGAGUGCUUUUGCAGAGGGGGAAGCUUCGCAUGAAGCCUUUUGGAGAUGGGAGAACAGGCAGUCAUCAAGGGAUCUGUGCCGUCAAGGAAUUACAGCGCAAACAUCACGACGGAUGUUUACAAAGAUUUACAAAUCAUACCUGUGGAGGUUAGAAAGGUAUUCAGACUACUGCAGCCAUUGGCUUUCCUUACUGGUCCAAGCAGACCAGAGAGAGGAGACCAGAGAGAGAAAGACUCGGAGCCCAGAUAGAACCUGAAUACAGCUGUGAGAGACGCACAACACAGUCCAAGUUCCUUCCAUCCAGGGGGCUUUGAGUGAAAGGCUGUACUGAUUCCAAACAGACCAUCUUCUCGUCUGAGCAGGCCAGAAGGCCUGUGGAAUGUAUUAGACAGGGGCAUGUAUGGACAUGCAGAACCAGGCAGCUGAAAUACAGAGGGCUUCAAGAUGGGGGAUUCGUCAAAAAACUACUGGAAAGCAGAGGCCUGCUUCUGCGUCACUCUUUCGAGCACGAGUGUAGGUGUGUGUGUGUGUGUGUGUGUGUAGGUGUGCAUCUAGUGGCUGGUUUG